AUAGCUUCAAAAGCCAUUGAAUAUUUUAACAACACUCACCACAUUGUUCUCUAUUAUGAAGAUCUUCUGAAAAAUCUCACUAAACUGAAUGAUGUUCAAGAAUUUCUAAGAGUACCGUACAGAGAUUUGCACAGUCGUCAAGUGAAGAUACACACAGCUCCAUUAUCAGAACAAUUUGAGAACUGGGAACAAUUACAAGUAGCUCUCAAAGGGACUCGAUACCAAGCUUUUCUAUCAUCAGACUGAUGAAAAUUGAAACAUAACACACUCACAAUCUCUUUCUAUUUGCUACCAUCACUUUUUGAUCCAUUUGGUGGACCAGUAUAUUUCAAUACAAGUUGAAAUAUAUUCAAUUAAAAUAGAAAGGUAGGAGCUGAUUUUGCAUGGUGUAACAAUUAGUGCCUCUUCUUUGUAACUUGUACAUAUGAAUUAUUCUUCUGACAUUCUUUUCCAAAGUAUUAGUAUGAUUAAGAUGAUAAAAUUUUGUAGCUUCAUAUAAUUUUUACCCACCAUUUUUAAUCCUACAUGACACCAUGAUUAGCACAUUUACACUACUACCUUUUUUUUACAGAAUAGAUGAAUAGGAAAAGAGACAAAGAACAGAUACAAAA